rnacentral:rRNA from 1 species
CCUAUUGUUGCUUCGGCGGGAUUGCCCCGGGCGCCUCGUGUGCCCCGGAUCAGGCGCCCGCCUAGGAACUUUAACUCUUGUUUUAUUUUGAAUCUUCUGAGUAGUUUUUACAAAUAAAUAAAAACUUUCAACAACGGAUCUCUUGGUUCUGGCAUCGAUGAAGAACGCAGCGAAAUGCGAUAAGUAAUGUGAAUUGCAGAAUUCAGUGAAUCAUCGAAUCUUUGAACGCACAUUGCGCCCGCCAGUAUUCUGGCGGGCAUGCCUGUCUGAGCGUCAUUUCAACCCUCAUGCCCCUAGGGCGUGGUGUUGGGGAUCGGCCAAAGCCCGCGAGGGACGGCCGGCCCCUAAAUCUAGUGGCGGACCCGUCGUGGCCUCCUCUGCGAAGUAGUGAUAUUCCGCAUCGGAGAGCGACGAGCCCCUGCCGUUAAACCCCCAA